GCCCAAGUGGCGAAAUGGAUAUCGCAUCCCCCUCCUAAGGGGAAGAUUGCGGGUUCGAGUCCCGUCUUGGGUA